CCUACCUCUAAGACCACUCUGUCUGGGGAACAUGGCCGCCGGAGCAAAGCUAAGAGCCCAGAGAAGCAGGAGAGAGCAGACUCCCCUAGACCCAGCUGUGUCUCCAUGAAGAGUGGCUGGUCUAUGGAUCCACCUGUUAGGUUUAAAGAUGGAAAUCAGUCUAUCAAGAAGAGUAGAGUCCAGCAGGAGAGAGCAGACUCCCCUGGACCCAGCUGUGUCUCCAUGAAGAGUGGCUGCUCUAUGGAUGUACCUGUUACCUUUAAAGAUGGACGCCCCUCCAGAGAGGAGAGGUAGGGGUUCAAACAGACGAUGAAAACAGACCACUUGGUUGUUUUCAGACUACUGAUAUCUACAAGUGUGUGUGUGUGUGUGUGUGUGUGUGUGUGUGUGUGUGUGUGUGUGUGUGUGUGUGUGUGUGUGUGUGUGUGUGUGUGUGUGUG